rnacentral:tRNA from 1 species
AAGAAGGUAAUAAAAUGGUAGUAUAGUUGGCUUGAAACCAAUUAAUGUGGGUUCGAUUCCUACCCUUUUUG